GAGUGCUCAAAGCAAGCCUACGCUC
rnacentral:siRNA from 1 species